UGUAAAGGCUGGGCAUUGAGUAAAUAUAGAAUGACUUGUUUUCAAUCCAGUUUUAUUAUUUUAAUGAUUAGUGGAUCUCCUGCAAUAUUAAAGAAUGUGAGCAAAAGUAGCAAUGUAUGAUUAUCUAAUGAGCGACCUGUCCAUGGCAUUUUUCGUGACUCCAAUCCAAGCAAGACAAAGUCAAAGAUGUCACAGGUCAGAGAGAAAACUGUGUAAUGGGAGCAGUUGCAGAAAGGAAGGGAUCAAACCAUGGAAAAUGGUAGAAACAAACACAAAGUGCACCAUUCCACAAGAUUGGUUCAUCAGAGCAGCAUCUGUCUCAACAACCAGGACUGAAGGAUGUCACAUACCCCAAGGAACAGGUACAGCCUGAGGGACUUUGACCAGAGGAGACACAGGCCGGCAGCCAGGGUCAACAGGGUGAACGUUUCAUCCAUUGUUUGCAGAAAAUAUUUAACCCACCUUCAAGUGGAGUGAUCAUCCUGACCAGACCUAGGCCAAUUUUGGAAGUUUAACAAUCAUGAAUAAGUGAACCCAAAGUGUUUUAGUCCAAUGAAGCCCAGGGGGAAGUAACCUAUUUUGUCAUUAAUCAUACUAGAAAAUUUAGCAUCGAUUGUGCCACAUUGAGACUAUCUGUAUAUUUUAAACACAGUUAUUACUCAAAAUCUGAAUCCUGUGUCAGGUGCAUUAUUCAUCGUUCUUUAGUAUGAUUCAUAAAGGAACACCCGGCCCAGACACAUGUAAAUAAGUGAGUCUGGCCAUGACAUGUAGUGCUGAAUGACCCUCACAUGAUCAGAGACACCCUACAUAUGGUAUCCCAGCUGGUUUCUGGCAGAAACUUAAAUUGACAAAAUUCUUGCAGCGCUGACAUACAGCACUCUAAAAUUAUAAUAGAAAUGGCCACCUGAAGAUUUCAUUUACAUGCCGUGGCAGGGGAGGGGCUUUGCUGGAUAGGGAUGUUCUGGAAGUAAAUGCUGGCAACUGUUCAGCAGGCACUGUGCAGGACAGAGGAGCUCUCCUUUUGGGCACAAGUUGGCCUACAAAGGGGCACCUGAAGGGAAUGGUCACCCUGUGACCCCUCAUUUACACCUGGUGGGACUGGCCUGACUAGCCUCAGUGUCCCCAGACUCCACUUACUUGGCUGUGUGGGGCUAUAUAGGUGCAGCCCCAGCGAGGGAUACUGCUCUCCUGGUGGAGUCGGUGAUCUGAUAAUGUUCGUCAGUAUCGGGGGUAGGUGGCCACCCUUACCAUGACUUUACAGUAGCCUGUAAAAUGUUAUCCGGGUCCUACUACCUGCUAAAACAGUUUUGACCCAUGCCCUGCCGAGCAUCAACAAACUCCUACCUAAUUUGGUUACAGAGGUGAGAAUUCUACCACCUGAGAAAUAUCCAGCCCUUGAAGUCCAAAUUUAUUUAUAUUUGAUCAUAAGUUAGUGUUUAUAGUGAUAAUGAAUGGUUGAACUUUGGCAUUAUCUUAUUACAACAGAAAACAUCAAUAGGUUAUUUUGAUGGCAGUGAAGAUGGACUAUCAAUACUCAAAUUGCAUCAUUCGAUUGAGGUAUUUAUGGAUUAGAAGUUGGUUUUAAAAUGGUCACUGCUGACUUAAAAUGGCUGCUGUGAACACUUUACUAAGCCCAGGCAAUCCACGAGGAAUAUGAAAUCAGCUGCAUUGAAAUUACUAUUUUAAUCAAGGACUCAGUGAGGCACUAAGAAGUUUGCAACUCUUGUUUAACUUGUGCUUACAUGAUUAAUUUGUGUGUUGAGAGAUGAGAGGUUGCCUGGAAUGCGACAAUGGCACAGACACCAGAGUUCACAAAGAAAUAAGAAUAUCAACAGCAGCUUUUGAACAAACAGAAAAGACUGAUAACAGCAAGGAUACUGGAAGCUCUUGUUUCUCUCUGUCCACUUCAAACUCAGAAACCCGUUCUGGUGAAAAGGCAACUUGGAAAAAUAUCACUGUUCAUUGAGAACUCAAAGUAAAAAUUUGAAAACUUUGCCACUGUAAAAGAAACAGGAUAAAUACUUGAUUCAGGUCGGAAAAACCCAGCAGGUCAGACAGCAUCUGAAGAGCAGGUCAGUCAUUGUUUAGGGCUGAAACCCUUCAUCAGGACUAGUUGGCUGACUAGUUUUAAUUUAUUUGUGAUAGCUAUGUGGUAAAAAAGAAAAAAAAAACUGCUGUGACUGAUGGAGAGGGAUUUAAACAGAUGUCAGCCCCGCCUCACCUGUUCGUAAUGGGAUAUAACAGCCUAUCAAAGAAAUGGAAGAUUUUGAGGUGAGUGAAUAUGGAUGCUAUCAAAUCAAUAACAAAGAGAAAGAAAAUCACUAGGAAAACAAAUGCAGACAGCGGAAGAUCUGUUUUUACAUCAACAUCUUUUAAGAUAAAGGUGUUAAUAUUUUGUGAGUGACUGGAGACAGAGAACAAAAGUAGUGAGAGCUUCACAAUUUUCUGAAGAAGGGCCUAGUCAGCCUUCCUGCUCCUCUGAUGCUGCUUGGCCUGCUGUGUUCAACCAGCUCUACAUCUUGUUAUCUUGAAGCAACACAAUAAAUUAGUUUAAAAAUAA